CCUUGCAAUUUUUGUGCUUGCAAGAUGUCAGCUAGCAGUCUAUCAGUAUCUAAACAAUGCAGUAACCAUGAUGUUGGUAUGAAACUGUCCUACAGCUUCAGGGGCAGAUGGAAAUGUAUAGCUUAUGACAUAAUCACAGAAAGUCAGGCAACCCAUUCGCUUACUUGAUAAAUCCUCCCCUGGUUCAGUCCACUAAGGUGUCCAUUUCCUUAUCUCCUCCUCAUGACGCAGCAUUCUUAUUUAUUCCAUAUCCUUAAUUUUUACACUAACUAGUCCAGCGAGUCUUUGUUAGUUAAGUGUGCCAGUAUAUGUCUAUUUUUUCCGAUCAUAACUUUUGUACAUGCCUAUAUUUUGUAGAUUCAUAUAGGUAUUGAUAUUCAGGUAUUCAAUGCAUGACAAAUGAUACAUGAUUAGGGAGCUGAAUUGUGACCAAAGAUCAAAUCCUCUUGGGCAUAUGAUAUUCUACAUUGGCAGGAAAGGCACAUGGGCAGUGUUUCUUAUAACUGGGUGAGAAUUUCAAUACAAGAUGAUUACUUGGAUCUUGGAGAACGUAUGAUGGUUCUUGGUACUUGGAGGAAAAACAAGACAAUUCUCUGAAUGUUUAGAAAUUUUAUAUUUUGUUUUAUUUUAUUUUUCGAAGGAAGUGAUG